rnacentral:rRNA from 1 species
CCUACGGGUGGCAGCAGUGGGGAAUUUUGGACAAUGGGCGCAAGCCUGAUCCAGCUAUUCCGCGUGUGGGAUGACGGCCCUCGGGUUGUAAACCACUUUAGUAGAGAACGAAAAGUAGCUAUCGAAUAACUAGCUCUGCUGACGGUACUCUAAGAAUAAGCACCGGCUAACUACGUGCCAGCAGCCGCGGUAAUACGUAGGGUGCGAGCGUUAAUCGGAUUUACUGGGCGUAAAGGGUGUGCAGGCGGCUGAGUAAGACAGAUGUGAAGUGCCCGGGCUUAACCUGGGAACCGCAUAUGUGACUGCUUGGCUAGAGUGCGUCAGAGGGAGGUGGAAUUCGACGUGUAGCAGUGAAAUGCGUAGAUAUGUGGAAGAACACCGAUGGCGAAGGCAGCCUACCGGGACGCAACUGACGCGCAUACACGAAGGCGCGGGGAGCAAACAGGAUUAGAUACCCGGGUAGUC